GGCAGUGUAGCUCAGUGGUAAAGUGCUUGCCUGGCAUGCAAGAGGUCUUAGGUUCAAUCCCAAGCACUGCAA
rfam:Ictidomys tridecemlineatus contig014036, whole genome shotgun sequence.